UAAAUAUUAUUUUUUUCAAUUUCAAAAGGGCAAAAGACUCUCCUCGCUACUUUAGCAACGCUCUCCUUGAUAAAAUCUCCGUGGAUUAGGGUUUCUGGCUUCAAUUGUGGAUACUGACAAAUUAAUCUUCCGUAUUAGGUAGUGUUUUGCAUCUUCUCGCCCUCCAGCUCGUUCCAGAUUGAAGAAAUUUAUAAAGCUAGAGAAACGGGAAUUCUUGCAAUCUCAGGAAUUCAAAUAUGUCAUCCAAGGAAUGGAUGGAUUUAGCAAGGUAUAGCAAAGAGUAUAUCGAGGGUGUUCAAUCUUUCUUAGAUUUUGCUUACUCUUAUGGAGAUCCUCAAGGCGAAGAAAUUUAAUCCCCAUGUGCAAAGUGUUGUAAUAUUCGUUGGGCUCGAAGGAAUAUAGUGUAUGACCAUCUAAUAUGUUAUGGGUUUGUUCAAGGUUAUACAAGAUGGAUUAAUCAUGGAGAAUGGGAAAUUUCGAUGAAUGUUAAUUGUGACAUGGAUGAUAAUGUUUACUCUUACGAUGAUAAUUUAGGUUCAGCGGUUUCUUGUGAAUCUUCCUUUUGCACAACCUGCUCGCUUCCAUCCUUCAAAAGAGUUGUUUGUGCACCAACAGUAGAUUGAUUAUCAAUUGGAUGAGUAGCAUCUUUAGCUUCCACACCUGUUGAUUUAUCAGUUGUUUACCCAAUCUAACAGUAGGUCGAUCACCAUCUGUCGCACCAGCUUUUGCCUUCUCAUGUGCAAACUGUUGUACAUUAGGUGGUAUAUCUGGUUCAACUUAUUCUUAAUUUUUGGACUUGUCUCUAAUUUCUCUGUAGCCAGUGCUAGUCGCGGUUCUGAUUUAUUAUGUGCAAAUAGUUGAAAAGAAGUUGGGAAGUUGGGUGCUGGUUCAUAGGCUGAAGAAAUUAAGUACCUCAUACGAAAGACUGACAAAUCCAGCUAACAACUGAACUUUUCCUGCCGUCUUUGCGUUUGAUGAGACCUCUUCAUUCAUAUUAAGCUGUCAAAUACCUAAGUAGUCUUAUAGUACAUUAUCUGAAGCAAAGGAAACAUUUUGCAGGCUAUCGCUAUUUGAUACAUGUUCACAAAUUUCCUUCUUGGACAAGAGUUAACUGCUUCUGAACUUAACACCUAUUUUUUGAUUAAAAAACUGCAAAAGCGCUUAGGUCUGAUCCUUUUCCUUCGUUCACUGAGAAUGAAUACCGUUCGAUUGUGCUGGAUGUUGCCAAUGAAUUCCAGCUAGGAAGUAACAUGAAAACUACAAAAUGAAACUUCAUAUUAAAAUGGUUAUGAUCAUUGUCACUGAAAAAUCUAUUGACAUUCUUGGCUAUAUUUUGAGUCUGAACUUCAGAAUCGCCAAAGUUCUGGAGAAACAACUGAUGAUGCAUUUAGGGUUGUAUUUGGAAAGGAGCAGCCUGGUCGGGUUAGAUGCUAUAGUAGAUCGGUGACGACAAGCUCUCUGAAAAAAGAUGAAGAAAUCACCAAGCUUAAACAAAUGCAUACCAACAAAAUAACUUCUCUGAAGGAAGAAAUGAAGGAAAUGAUGAGGGAAGAAAUGCGAUCUUUUUUAGUCAAUUGGUGAAAAACAACCCUGGACUAGAUUUUCAUGAUAUACAAGGGUGUGUUGGAUCUAAUAUUCCUUCACCGGUUGAUGCAAGUAGUGCACGAGCUAUGAGAGGCAAAAAUCUACAACAUUCUUCUGGAUCAACUCAUGCCCCGAGUAUUGAAAAGGAAAAUACAGGUGAUGCAAUUGGAAAUGGUGGCCACAAAUCAAUUUGAAUCAUUAAAGUGAAUGGUGAAGACCUUUUGAACAAGAUGUUUAUUUUUGUUGACACUAAAUAUGAGUAUAUUUGAUUUUGUAGAGGUCUUUGCUAGUGAACUUCUUGAACCAACAUUGCUUUAUUACUAUUGAUAGUACACAAAGUGUGUUUCUUUUGUUGAAAUUUAUUUCAAGUA